UAAGCAUAUCACUAAGCGGAGGAAAAGAAACUAACAAGGAUUCCCUUAGUAACUGCGAGUGAACAGGGAUUAGCCCAGCACCGAAGCCUGUGGCCAGUUGGUCACUAGGCAAUGUGGUGUUCAGGUUGUUCCGCAAAGACACUGCUCCACCCUAAGUCCAUCAAUGAGUACGGUAGUACGGACAUGGCCCGCAGAGGGUGAAAGGCCCGUGGGGGUGGAGAUCAUGUAGGCCAGUGUCUUUCUGGAUAGACCUUGGAGUCGGGUUGUUUGUGAAUGCAGCCCAAAGUGGGUGGUAAACUCCAUCCAAGGCUAAAUACAAGCACGAGUCCGAUAGCGAACAAGUACCGUGAGGGAAAGUUGAAAAGUACUUUGAAGAGAGAGUAAACAGUGCGUGAAACCGAUCAGAGGUAAACGGGUGGAGUUGAACUGCAAGCUCUGGGAAUUCAACUGGUGAGUGUGGUUUGAGCUUGGUUAAAUUGGUUGGGCCCUGAAGUCUGCGUAGCAGCAGGCCUUCGCCUCUCGGGGUGGAGGUGCGCGAUGCACUUAUCAAGUGUUGUGCGCUUCGGGUGUUCAUCGGGCCGGCUCGCCAGUGCACUUUCUCAGAGUAGUCAUCACGACCGGCACUGCUGUCUGGCUGAUGUGGUUAAACCGUUCUCGCAUUGUCCUUGUGGCUCUGCUUGAUCGGGAUGGCAGGUAGCUCGUUGACUUGCUCGUAGCUUGCUACGGGCGCUGGGUCUUUGAGUGUAAUCAGCUGACCGCAUUGGUUCUGUACAGUGUGUCGGAGACGGCGGCUUUUGUGUGUGCGUGCGUGCCUGUCUGGCCAACGUGUCCGGGUUUGGUUGCCAUGUUGCCUGUUCAUUCAGGCCUGGUGAUGGCUCGGAUUCGCUUGGUCGGCGGUUGCGUGCGUGGCACAGUUCAUGGGCCAAUAGUCUGUGAUGUAGUGGUAGACUAUCCACCUGACCCGUCUUGAAACACGGACCAAGGAGAGUAACAUGUGCGCGAGUCAUUGGGCGUUACGAAACCCAAAGGCGCAGUGAAAGUAAAGGUCUGGCUUGUCCAGGCUGAGGUGAGAUCCUGUCGUUUCUCAUGCAUGGUACCACCAAGCUUCGAGCGGCAGGCGCAUCACCGGCCCGUCCCAUGACAAUUGUCUUCGGACAUUACCCAGUCGAGGCGGAGCAUGAGCGUACAUGUUGAGACCCGAAAGAUGGUGAACUAUGCUUGCGCAGGUUGAAGCCAGAGGAAACUCUGGUGGAGGACCGAAGCGGUUCUGACGUGCAAAUCGAUCGCCAGACGUGAGUAUAGGGGCGAAAGACUAAUCGAACCAUCUAGUAGCUGGUUCCCUCCGAAGUUUCCCUCAGGAUAGC
rnacentral:rRNA from 1 species